rnacentral:rRNA from 1 species
GACGUAGGGCGCAAGCGUUGUCCGGAUUUAUUGGGCGUAAAGAGCUCGUAGGCGGCUUGUUGCGUCGUCCGUGAAAACCUGUGGCUCAACUACAGGCUUGCGGUCGAUACGGGCGGGCUGGAGUUCGGUAGGGGAGACUGGAAUUCCUGGUGUAGCGGUGAAAUGCGCAGAUAUCAGGAGGAACACCAAUAGCGAAGGCAGCUCGCUGGGACGGUACUGACGCUAAGGCGCGAAAGCGUGGGGAGCGAACAGG